AUUGAACGCUGGCGGCAUGCUUUACACAUGCAAGUCGAACGGCAGCGGGGGCUUCGGCCUGCCGGCGAGUGGCGAACGGGUGAGUAAUGCAUCGGAACGUGCCCAGUCAUGGGGGAUAACUACGCGAAAGCGUAGCUAAUACCGCAUACGCCCUGAGGGGGAAAGUGGGGGAUCUUCGGACCUCACGUGAUUGGAGCGGCCGAUGUCAGAUUAGCUAGUUGGUGAGGUAAAGGCUCACCAAGGCGACGAUCUGUAGCGGGUCUGAGAGGAUGAUCAGCCACACUGGGACUGAGACACGGCCCAGACUCCUACGGGAGGCAGCAGUAGGGAAUUUUCGGCAAUGGGGGAAACCCUGACCGAGCAAUGCCGCGUGAACGAUGAAGGUCUUCGGAUUGUAAAGUUCUGUGAUUGGGGAAGAAUGGUAUUCUUAGGGAAUGAGGAGUACAUGAC
rnacentral:rRNA from 1 species